UAUGUUCUUCAGGGCGGGGUGAAAGUCCCCACCGGCGGUAAAGCCCGCGAGCUAUAAUACGGUUUGUCCGUUUUUUAGCAUGAUUCGGUGAAACUCCGAAGCCGACAGUACAGUCUGGAUGGAAGAAGAUACAU
rnacentral:ncRNA from 2 species